GUCAGUCGGUCGGUCAGUCGGUCGGUCGGUCGGUCAGUCAGUCGGUCGGUCGGUCGGUCGGUCAGUCAGUCAGUU
rnacentral:pre_miRNA from 1 species